GUCAUUUUCAUCACAGGGAAAGCCUCCAUAUCAUCUAGCUUUAAUAUUGGAUCAGGCCAGGGGGGUAAAUUUAGAAAUCAUGCCUCUCAGCGGGGGUCGCUGAGUGGGAGAAAUCUUGGAGGAAACUCUGGGUUUGGACCCAUGAACAGCAUCCCUCACUAAGUCCCCUGUUCUCAGGUCCCACGUUGGGGGUGCCACUUGUCCCGGCCUGCAGAAAAUUGCUGCCACUGCUGGGUGCAAAACCACCACAUCAGCUGUCAUGGUUCACUGUCUGCACCAGAAGACAGAGGAUGAGCUCUUGGAGACAACUCUGAAAAUGAGUUUCCUCAUUGUGCCCCCUGUGACUGAUGGUGUGCUGCUACCCAAAGCAUCAGAAGACGUGGCUGGAAAAAAUUUCAACACUGUCCCCUACAUUGUGGGAAUCAACAAGCAAGAAUUUGGCUGACUUAAGCCAACAGUGAGAGUGUACAGGCCUCUCAGACAGAUCUACCACUCUCCCUUAUCAUUCCUUCAGCCUCUGAUCCCAAGAGUUCCUCUUUUCCUAAGCCCCCUACCUAGUCCAGGACAGUUGCUUCUAGAAAUAGCCUUGUGGUUAGCUAUAAUGUGCCUAUAGGGUACAGCAUGGGGAAAUCUCCCCACCCUCUGCAACACUCAUUGCCUUCCUAUUAAAGAAUCCUUAUGCUCAGACUCAGAGGCCUUUAAAGAUUAAAAAAAAAUAAAAAGAAAGAAAAAUUUGUGCCAGUAGAAAAAUUCAGGUUGUUUAUAAUGAAUAAGAAAUGUCAGGCUUGUGAGGUAAUAGGUUCCACCUUAGACUUGAGCUCACAGGUCCCAUGGCUUUCCACCAUAUACUCUCAAGUUCCCGCAGUGGGGACAUUCACAUAAAAUAUCUUGUUGAAAUAAAAUUGGCUUUUAAAUGGGAAGAAGAGCUUUUUUUCUGUGAAAGAUAAUGGCAGGACACUAAUUAAAAUGUUAGGAUAGGUUUUAUUCAUUAAUGAUAGUGCAAGAAAAAGAUGAAGCAUGACUUGAACUCAAAUACAUGACCUGAAUGCCUGUAGAUGUUCCAGGCUGGCUGAGUUCAGGAAGGUACUGACGAAUGACCUGACUAGAUCACUGGAUUUGUUCACCAGACACAUUUGUAGGAGAAGUAGACUUCCCUCUGUUUAUGAGAGAACAUAGAGAGAGGCCCCAUUAAAGUUAGACCUUGAUUCUUCUGUAGGGAUUAUCUCAGAAAGAUAAUCAGUUAUUGCCACACAUGUAUGUAUUUCAAAGCGUUUUCCAAAAAUUAUAACAAAAAUUCUCUCAGUUUGGGUUGGAGAUUUACAUCCCAGUGGCAGAGAAAGGGCUGAUAUUUGUAAGCUUUCUAAAGUGACUGGUCUAGGAAAAGACUCAGAGAUCUAUUUGUAUGCACCAGGCUUACACUGGAGAAAACAGUAAUUUUACCUGUAAGCACUGAGUAUUCUCAGGCAGACAUUUUGAGUAUGCAGUCAUCUCAGGGCAUGGGUUUAAGCUGCUAGAAGGACAGAAUUGGAUCAAGUCUAUGAGUGCAGAAGUUUGCAUAGGGUGUCACAUGCAAGACCUGCAGUUCUCACUUCAAAAAGGGCUCAAAGCUUUUCAAGACCAAAGCUACAAUGUUGAUCUUGUCUUCCUGAGUCCUCUUGAGUCUGCAGGGCCUUGUCAGUUAGUGCCUUCUUUCCCUGAUCCCUCGGCUUCAACACUACCCUAACUUGUGUUUUCUUACUUCUUAGGUGACCAGUUUUUUUUCCUGACCUGAUAAA